UACGGGGGGGGCAAGCGUUGUUCGGAAUUACUGGGCGUAAAGGGCUCGUAGGCGGCCAACUAAGUCAUACGUGAAAUCCCUCGGCUUAACCGGGGAACUGCGUCUGAUACUGGAUGGCUUGAGUUCGGGAGAGGGAUGCGGAAUUCCAGGUGUAGCGGUGAAAUGCGUAGAUAUCAGGAGGGACACCGGUGGCGAAGGCGCACAUCUGGCCCGAUACUGACGCUGAGGCGCGAAAGACUAGGGGAGCAAACGGG
rnacentral:rRNA from 1 species